rnacentral:rRNA from 1 species
CCUACGGGAGGCAGCAGUGAGGAAUAUUGGUCAAUGGGCGAGAGCCUGAACCAGCCAAGUCGCGUGAGGGAGUACUGCCCUAUGGGUUGUAAACCUCUUUUGUCGGGGAGCAAAAGCCGGACGUGUCCGGCUGUUAGAUUACCCGAAGAAAUAGCAUCGGCUAACUCCGUGCCAGCAGCCGCGGUAAUACGGAGGAUGCGAGCGUUAUCCGGAUUUAUUGGGUUUAAAGGGUGCGCAGGCGGAUUUUUAAGUCAGCGGUCAAAUCGUGGGGCUCAACCCCAUCCAGCCGUUGAAACUGGGGAUCUAGAGUGUGCGAGAGGUAUGCGGAAUGCGUGGUGUAGCGGUGAAAUGCAUAGAUAUCACGCAGAACCCCGAUUGCGAAGGCAGCAUACCGGUGCACAACUGACGCUCAGGCACGAAAGCGUGGGUAUCGAACAGGAUUAGAUACCCUUGUAGUC